CACAGAGAGAGAGACAGUGGGUUGUGUGCGCUCUGUAUCUGUACAAUGAGAAAUUCCCCACCAGCAUUUCCCUGCAGCCACUGCGACAAAGAAUGUGCUAGAUGAGACUGAGAAAAUCAAAUUAGACCAGGGCCUGGUUUAACAGCCUAGACUCUCUUCAGGGAGCUGUGUGAAUUUCCAGGGGCUCCCUAUGCUCAGCUUGGCCGGCACAGAGGCUACUCUGACAAGCAGCUGCAAUCCGAUGCUCAGCCCUGCCGGGUCAGGGCAGGAAUGCAGCCGCUUUGGAAAUGCAUUCUCAGCUUCCACUUUUCUGCCCUCACCCCGAGGGCAGCGAGGACCUUUCAGAGUGAUUAAUCCCCACGGGAGGAAGGAACCAGAAAGGAUGGAGCCGGAGACAUCUGUCUUAAAGCAGAACGUGAGGUCUCUAAACGAUGAGCAGUGAAACCCGGCCCUGACACUGUCCUUUGGCACAGAGUUCAGCACAGCCAUUUAGCGAGCACUGCUGAAAAGCAGAUGAAAUGUGGCCGUGUCAGUCCGAGACUGACAAGAGCUAAAAAGGGCACUGCCUCAAUUUAAUAGUAAAGUCAGAACAACACAGCACAACAGUUGCCCUUUUCCCAGGCACUGAGAGCCCAGGUGUUCCCUCAAGGAGAUUUAGGGGAAGGCAAAGAGAUUUCUGCUGUUCCCAUUAGGGCAAAAUAAGAAAUUGGAUCUCCCCUCUGAGAAGUCGAACCCUUGCUCAGAGCAUCAUUUCCUGAAUCAUCAGUGAAAACACCACAGAAAGGGAAACUGCGUUAUGGAGAAAGAAAUACU